rnacentral:misc_RNA from 1 species
GAUGAAGAACGCAGCGAAAUGCGAUAAGUAAUGUGAAUUGCAGAAUCCAGUGAAUCAUCGAAUCUUUGAACGCACAUUGCGCCCCUUGGUAUUCCGAGGGGCAUGCCUGUUCGAGCGUCAUUAUAACCCCUCAAGCUUAGCUUGGUGUUGGGGCCUGCUGUAAUAGAGCAGCCCUUAAAAUCAGUGGCGGUGCCAUUAGGCUCUAAGCGUAGUAAUUCUUCUCGCUAUAGGGUUCUGGUGGAUGCUUGCCAUUAACCUCUAAUUUUCUAUGGUUGACCUCGGAUCAGGUAGGGAUACCCGCUGAACUUAAGCAUAUCAAUAAGCGGAGGA